GUCGGUGGUUCAUAGCUACAGGGAAACGCCCGGUCCCAUUCCGAACCCGGAAGCUAAGCCUGUACGCGCUGAUGGUACUGCAACCGGGAGGUUGUGGGAGAGUAAGUCACCGCCGACA
rfam:Corynebacterium sp. KPL1855 genomic scaffold addTD-supercont1.2, whole genome shotgun sequence.